AGCAGCCGCGGUAAUUCCAGCUCCAAUAGCGUAUAUUAAAGUUGUUGCAGUUAAAAAGCUCGUAGUUGAAUUUCGGAAUUUGUCGGUUGGUCGGGCUUCACUGUCCGCACUGACCUGAUGGAUUCCUACCUUCUGAAUAACCAGCAUGCUAUUAAGUUAGUGCGUUGGGGAAGCAGAGCUAUUACCUUGAAAAAUUAGAGUGCUUAAAGCAGGCUUGUGCUUGAAUAGAUUAGCAUGGAAUAAUAAAAUAGGACGGCAUGGUUCUAUUUUGUUGGUUUCUAGGAUCACCGUAAUGAUUAAUAGGGAUAGUUGGGGGCAUUAGUAUUCAAUUGUCAGAGGUGAAAUUCUUGGAUUUAUUGAAGACUAACUUCUGCGAAAGCAUUUGCCAAGGAUGUUUUUAUUAAUCAAGAACGAAAGUUAGGGGAUCGAAGACGAUCAGAUACCGUCGUAGUCUUAACCAUAAACUAUGCCGACUAGGGAUCGGACGAUGUUAAUUUUUAAUGUACUCGUUCGCGUACCG
rnacentral:rRNA from 1 species